GGACUGAGAAGGAUCAUUAUCAUG
rnacentral:rRNA from 1 species